rnacentral:rRNA from 1 species
UACAGGGGUCCCGAGCGUUGUUCGGAUUCAUUGGGCGUAAAGGGUGCGUAGGCGGCGGGGCAAGUCUGAUGUGAAAUCCCGGGGCUCAACCCCGGAACUGCAUUGGAUACUGCCUUGCUAGAGUACUGGAGAGGGAACUGGAAUUUACGGUGUAGCAGUGAAAUGCGUAGAUAUGACCCGGAACACCGAUUGCGAAGGCAGCCCGCUAAGCAACUAUUGACGCUGAGGCACGAAAGCGUGGGGAUCAAACAGG